GAUGAACGCUGGCGGCGUGCUUAACACAUGCAAGUCGAACGGGAAACCUUUUAUUGAAGCUUCGGCAGAUUUCGCUGGUUUCUAGUGGCGGUCGGGUGAUUAACGCGUGGGUAACCUGCCUUAUACAGGGGGAUAACAACCAGAAAUGGUUGCUAAUACCGCAUAAGCGCACAGGACCGCAUGGUCCGGUGUGAAAAACUCCGGUGGUAUAAGAUGGACCCGCGUUGGAUUAGCUAGUUGGCAGGGUAACGGCCUACCAAGGCGACGAUCCAUAGCCGGCCUGAGAGGGAGAGCGGCGACUUUGAGACUGAGCCACGGUGCGGAAUCCUACGCGAGGGAGCAGUGGGGAAUAUUGCAAAAUGGGGGAAACGAUGAUGCAGCGAGGCCGCGUGAAGGAAGAAGUAUCUCGGGAUGUAAAGUUCGAUCAGCAGGGAAGAUAGUGACGGUACCUGAAGAAGAAGCCCCGGCUAACUACGUG
rnacentral:rRNA from 1 species